UUGAACGCUGGCGGCAGGCCUAACACAUGCAAGUCGAGCGGCAGCGCGGGGCAACCUGGCGGCGAGCGGCGGACGGGUGAGUAACGCGUAGGAAUCUACCCAGUAGCGGGGGAUAGCCCGGGGAAACUCGGAUUAAUACCGCAUACGCCCUAAGGGGGAAAGCAGGGGAUCGUAAGACGUUACACUGUUGGAAGAGCCUGCGUUGGAUUAGCUAGUUGGUAGGGUAAAGGCCUACCAAGGCGACGAUCCAUAACUGGUCUGAGAGGAUGAUCAGUCACACCGGAACUGAGACACGGUCCGGACUCCUACGGGAGGCAGCAGUGGGGAAUAUUGGACAAUGGGGGCAACCCUGAUCCAGCCAUGCCGCGUGUGUGAAGAAGGCCUUCGGGUUGUAAAGCACUUUAAGUGGGGAGGAAGGUUCGGCAGCUAAUACCUGCCGGAAGUGAUGUUACCCACAGAAUAAGCACCGGCUAACUCUGUGCCAGCCGCCGCGGUAA
rnacentral:rRNA from 1 species